rnacentral:rRNA from 1 species
GACGAACGCUGGCGGCGUGCUUAACACAUGCAAGUCGAACGGAAAGGCCUCUUUCGGGGGGUACUCGAGUGGCGAACGGGUGAGUAACACGUGAGUAACCUGCCCUUGACUUUGGGAUAACUUCAGGAAACUGGGGCUAAUACCGGAUAGGAGCUCCUGCUGCAUGGUGGGGGUUGGAAAGUUUCGGCGGUUGGGGAUGGACUCGCGGCUUAUCAGCUUGUUGGUGGGGUAGUGGCUUACCAAGGCUUGACGGGUAGCCGGCCUGAGAGGGUGACCGGCCACAUUGGGACUGAGAUACGGCCCAGACUCCUACGGGAGGCAGCAGUGGGGAAUAUUGCACAAUGGGUGGAAGCCUGAUGCAGCAACGCCGUGUGCGGGAUGACGGCCUUCGGGUUGUAAACCGCUUUCGCUCAUGACGAAGCUUUGUGUGACGGUAGUGGGUAAAGAAGCACCGGCUAACUACGUG